rnacentral:rRNA from 1 species
GAUGAACGCUGGCGGCGUGCCUAAUACAUGCAAGUCGAGCGAACAGACGAGGAGCUUGCUUCUCUGACGUUAGCGGCGGACGGGUGAGUAACACGUGGAUAACCUACCUAUAAGACUGGGAUAACUUCGGGAAACCGGAGCUAAUACCGGAUAAUAUUUUGAACCGCAUGGUUCAAUAGUGAAAGACGGUUUUGCUGUCACUUAUAGAUGGAUCCGCGCUGCAUUAGCUAGUUGGUAAGGUAACGGCUUACCAAGGCAACGAUGCGUAGCCGACCUGAGAGGGUGAUCGGCCACACUGGAACUGAGACACGGUCCAGACUCCUACGGGAGGCAGCAGUAGGGAAUCUUCCGCAAUGGGCGAAAGCUUGACGGAGCAACGCCGCGUGAGUGAUGAAGGUCUUCGGAUCGUAAAACUCUGUUAUUAGGGAAGAACAAAUGUGUAAGUAACUAUGCACAUCUUGACGGUACCUAAUCAGAAAGCCACGGCUAACUACGUG